GGGGAUGCCCGGUUUCGACAGGGUUGGAUGCCAGGCCAUUGCACGUCGAGGUGCCCGAGGCCUCGUUAAAACGGGCAAACUUGUAGCUGCGAACAAACCACAGCUCGCCUACGCUGCCUAAGUCGCAAGACCUCUAGGCAACGCGUCCAGCCGGAUCUCGCUUCGUCGGAUCGGAAUCUGGGCGUCACCAAGAUGAAGUGCGGCGAUCAAGUCCGUUGGAGCGCGGUCGCUUAAGACAGUCCAACUCACCAAUGAUCAAUCCUGUCGGUGGGAGUGAUCAACGGCAGAUAAAACGCCGACUAAACGUGUAGCAUAUGUCCGGUUGAAGGUUCUGGACGGGGGUUCGAUUCCCCCCAUCUCCACCU
rnacentral:tmRNA from 1 species